UUUGCCAGUGUUUUGUUGAGGAAUUUUUCACUGAUGUUCAUCAAGGAUAUUGGCCUGAAGUUUUCUUUUGUGUGUGUGUGUGUCUGCCAGGUUUUGGUAUCAGGAUACUUGCCUUAUACAAUGAGUUAGGGAGGAGUCUCUUCUUUUCAAUUUUUUGAAAUACGUUGAGAAGGGAAGGUACCAGCUCUUCUUUGUACAUCUGGUAAAAUUAAACUGUGAAUCUGUCUAGAUCUGGACCUUUAUAGUUAGUAGGUGAUAUGGUUUUGCUGUAUCCCCACCCAGAUCUUAUCUUGAAUUGUAAUUCUCAUAAUCCCUACAUUUCCUGGGAAGGACCCAGUGGGAGGUAAUUGAAUCAUGGGUACAGUUACCUCCAUGCUGUUCUCAUGAUACUGAGUGAGUUCUCACAAGAUCUGAAGAUUUUAUAAAGGGCUUUCCCCAUCUUCUGUCUACAAUUCUCCUUGCUGCCACCAUGUGAAGAAGGACAUAUUUGCUUCCCCUUAUGCCAUGAUUGUAAGUUUUCUGAGGCCUCCCGAGCCAUGUUGAACUUUGAGUCAAUUAAUCCUCUUUUUUAAAUAUAAAUUAUCCAGCAACAUGGCUCUUUAUUUCACCUGGGUGCAGGCGGGCUGAGUCCGAAAAGAGAGUCAGCGAAGGAAGAUAGGGGUGGGGCCGUUUCAUAGGAUUUGGGUAGGUAAAGGAAAAUUACAGUCAAAGGGGGUUUGUUCUCUGGCGGGCAGGAGUGGGGGUUGCAAGGUGCUCAGUGGGGGUGCUUUUUGAGCCAGGAUGAGCUAGGAAAAGGACUUUCACAAGGUAAUGUCAUCACUUCAGGCAAGGACCGGCCAUUUACACUUCUUUUGUGGUGGAAUGUCUUCAGUUAAGGUGGGGCAGGGCAUAUUCACUUCUUUUGUGAUUCUUCAGUUACUUCAGGCCAUCUGGGCGUAUACUUGGUGCAAGUCACAGGGGAUGCGAUGGCUUGGCUUGGGCUCAGAGGCCUGACAUUCCUGCCUUCUUAUAUUAAUACGAAAAAUAAAACAAAAUAGUGUUGAAGUGUUGGGGCGGCGAAAAUUUUUGUGGGGUGGUAUGGAGAGAGAAUGGGCGAUGUUUCUCAGGGCUGCUUCAAGCGGGAUUAGGGGCGGCGUGGGAACCUAGAGUGGGAGAGAUUAAGCUGAAGGAAGAUCUUGUGGUAAGGGGUGAUAUUGUGGGGUUGUUAGAAGAAACAUUUGUCGUAUAGAAUGAUUGGUGAUGGCCUGGAUAUGGUUUUGGCUAAGAAUUGGGAUGACUCUGGAUAUCUGAUUAGAGAGUACCUAAGGAGAUUCAGCAUAGUCCUGCCAGCAAAGAUUACUUAUUUACUUCAAGAGUUAAGAGUGGCAGUUUGGGGAUAGCACCAGGAGAUAUCAGCUGCGAUGGCUUGGAAAAACAGUGUAAACUGGCAGUGUAAACAAGAGCAGGGCAUGUAUGAGUAGUUGAGAACGGUGAACAGGAGUAUGACUAGACAGAAGAUAGUAAGGAUGACAAGUUUUUUGGGGCACAGUCUAAGUUGGUCUGGUGUCUGGAAUGAGACUGGGGCCUAAUAAAAAGGAGCGUCUAUACAGGAGCUUAAAUGGGCUGUACCCUGUAGCAUUCUAAGGACAGGCCUGAAUUCUGAGAAGGGAAAGUGGUAAAAGUAUUGUCCAGUCCUUUUUAAGUUGGUGGCUGAGCUUGGUGAGGUGUGUUUUUAAAAGACCUUUAGUCCAUUUGACUUUUCUUGAAGAUGGAGGACCUUAAGGGAUAUAAAGAUUUCACUGAAUACUAAGAGCCUGAAAAACUGCUUGGCUGAUUUGACUAAUAAAGGCUCAUCUGUUAUCAGGCUGUAUUGAGGUGGGAAGGCUAAACUGAGGAAUUAUGUCUAACACAACGGAAGAAAUGACUGCGGUGGCCUUCUCAGACCCUGUAGGAAAGGCCUGUACCUAUCCAGUGAAAGUGUCUACCUAGACUAAGAGGCAUUUUAGUUAUCUGACUCAGGGCAUGUUGAGUAAAGCUAAUUUGCCAGUCCUGGGUGGGGCAAAUCCUCGAGCUUGAUGUGUAGGGAAGGGAGGGAGCCUGAAUAAUCCCUGAGGAGUAGUAGAAUAGCAGAUGGAACACUGAGAAGUUAUUUCCUUGAGGAUAGAUUUCCACGAUGGAAAGGAAAUGAGAGGUUCUAAGAGGCUGGCUAGUGGCUUGUACUAUAGCAUAACCUGACUUUGCUGGUGUGUGGCUAUUAGGCCUGGUGGAACCACCAUCAAUAAAUCAAGUGUGAUCAGGGUGAGGAACAGGAAAGAAGGAAAUUUGGGGAAAUGGGGUGAAUGUCAGGUGGAUCAGAGAGAUACAGUCAUGGGGGUCAGGUGUGGUAUCAGGAAUAAUGUGGGAGGCCAGAUUGAAGUCUGGGCCAGGAACAACGGUAAUUGUGGGAGACUCAACAAACAGUGAGUAUAGCUGAAGGAGCCAGGAAGCAGAAAGUAUAUACGUCAGGUAUGAGGAAGAAAAUAGAUUUUGGAAGUUAUGAGAACUGUAGAGAGUGAGUUGAGAACAGUUUGUGAUUUUGAGGGCCUCUAAAAGUAUUAAAGCAGCGGCAGCCGCUGCACGCAGACAUGAGGGCUAGGCUAAAACAGUAAGGUCAAGUUGUUUGGACAGAAAGGCUACAGGGUGUGGUCCUGGCUCUUGUGUAAGAAUUCUGACCGCGCUAACCAUGCCUAGGAUGGAAAGGAGUUGUUUUGUAGAAGGUGCUGGGGUUUGAGAGAUCAGUCAGACACGAUUGGCAGGGAGAGCACGUGUGUUUUUAUGAGAAUUAUGCCGAGAUAGGUAACAGAUGAGGAAGAAAUUUGGGCUUGAUUGAAGUAAUGGGGGCUGUCUGUGAAGCUUUGCGGCAGUACAGCCUAGGUAAUUUGCUGAGCUUGAUGGGUGUCAGGGUCAGUCCAAGUGAAAGCGAAGAGAGGCCGGGAUUAAGGGUGCAAAGGAAUAGUAAAGGAAGCAUGUUUGAGAUCUAGAACAGAAUAAUGGGUUGUAGAGGCAGGUAUUGAGGAUAGGAGAGUAUAUGGGUUUGGCACCACGGGGUGGAUAGGCAAAACGAUUUGGCUGAUAAGGCACAGAUCCUGAACUAACUUGUAAGGCUUGUCUGGUUUUAGGACAGGUAAAAUGGGGGAAUUGUAGGGAGAGUUUAUAGGCUUUAAAUGGCCAUGCUGUAGCAGGCGAGUGAUAACAGGCUUUAAUCUUUUUAAAGCGUGCUGCAGGAUGGGAUAUUGGCAUUGAGUGGGGUAAGGGUGAUUAGGUUUUAAUGAGAUGGUAAGGGGUGCAUGAUCGGUCACCAAGGAGGGAGUAGAGGUAUCUUUUACUUGUGGGUUAAGGUCGGGGGGAUACAAGAGGAGGACGCAAAGGAGGCUUUGGAUUGGGAAGAAGGGCUGCAAUAAGAUAUAGCUGUAGUCCAGGAAUAAGCAGAUAAUUUAGUUAAGGUGUCUCAGCCUAAUAAGGGAACUGGGCCGGUGGGGAUAACUAAAAAGGAGUGCUUAAAAGAGUAUUGUCUAAGUUGGCACCAGAGUUGGGGAGUUUUAAGAGGUUUAGAAGCCUGGCCAUCAAUACCCACAACAGUUAUGGAGGCAAGGGAAACAGGCCCUUGAAAAGGUAAUGUGGAGUGGGUAGCCUCCGUAUUCAUUAAGAAGGGGAGGGGUUUACCUUCCACUGUGAGAGUUACCUGAAGCUCGGCGUCAGUGAUGGUCUAGGGGGCUUCAGAAGCGAUCGGGCAGUGUCAGUCUUCAGCCGCUAAGCUGAGAAGAUCUGGGAAGGAGUCAGUCAGAGAGCCUUGGGCCAGAGUUCCAGGGGCUCUGGGAGUGGCUGCCAGAUUGAUCUCAUGGACCACGAUGACCAAGAUGCCGUAGCUUCAGUUAUUACAAUCUUGCUCCAAGGAGCAGAAAAUCAGAGACAGAAGGAAAUUUAAAAGCUAUGGCACAGGACCAUAACUCAGUAUUUCAACAAUUGCACUUGCCUGGAUGAAGCUUUAUCUGGCAGUAAUUCCCAUGGGCAUCUAUUUUUUGUUAAGAUUGCCUGCCUCUUGAAAUAGGGCAAACGUUCGACUUCCACACUGAGACACGAAUUACAAACAAAAAGUGGCAUACUGAAGUGAAUAGGAGCAGAGACUUUGGGGCUCAAAUGUCAAGAGUCUGAAUCCUGGCUUCAGAACAUGGACUGUGGCUUUCUGUCUCAAUAGGGUCAAUAGGGUCAUUUGUCCCACCUUGAUCUAUCUUUCUUAAUCAACUAUAUUUCCAUUGAAUUUUUGCUGUUAUACAAAACCAAACAUGUUUCUCUGUCACUGGAGAAGCUAUUUUUAUAAACCUGCAGAGUUUCGGACAACAAACUAAUAUAUCCUGGUCUUGGUAUUUCCUAGAAUGAUGUCCAAAUUUCAUCUCCGAUUAAAUAAUUUUUAACUUUUGAAACCAUUACUUCUAUCUUUAGUAUUGCAGUCCAAUUGUGAAAAAUCCAAUAAAUUCAUUUUUCCCAUA